ensembl:lincRNA
GCGUAUAUAAGUGUGUAGACUUGCAGAAAUAAAGAGAGAGAAGAUGCAUCCGAACUGAGGCGUCUUGUUGUCCUUGCGCGUUGAGGGCUAUAAAUGGCGCCGGCACCCGGGAACUAAAUAAAGGAAUCUUGCAAGGGGCAAAAGACUACCAUCCUGUGUUCGGAGGAAGGCAUUUCAUAGAGUAUGCCCUUUUCCAAGUACUCAACUCCUUUGAAUUGUUGCACUUGGCUUCAAGUGAAGGACCGAUGAGUGCAGUUUGCAAGGAGAAGCCCAUCGAGAGAAAAGAGAGCUCUGGCGAAGGAUGGUGCGUCCCUGGCGUGGUCUGGUGUCAGGCCGCUCCCUUGGCAGCUCCUCUCCAAAGAGGGACCCAGGAAUCUUCAUCUAGAACACAUGGCAAGUCGGGAAGAGAGAGCUGAAGGAUCACACAGGACGUUUAAGAGCCAAACUGAAGGCGGCUUACUUCGCUCCCCUACAUUACACGGAUAAAAGCCAAAGACACCCACACCUGCAAGGGAGGCUGGAAACGAAGUCAUCCCGGGGACCCAAGAAGAGCAAACAGGGCGAGGAAUGCAUUGUACCAUCUCUACCAGAAUCGGGUAGAGAUGGUAUUGGGAAAACUUAUUGACAAAAUCAAAACUCGCUAACUUGUGAUGAGUGGGACAAUAGGCAGCAUGUGGCCACUUACAGAAGCAACUAAUCCUGACUUUUCACAUACAACUGCUGAUCUCAACAGCAAAUCUAAGUCUAAAAAGAGCAAAAGUCCAGCCCUAUUUCUCCCUAGUUGUGUAAACCUCAGUAAAAUUGUAGAAUUUAUGCUGACAAUUCAGAUCUGCUAGUGACAAAUAAACCUUUCAUCCCUUUAAGGUCUAUUUCUUUAUGUCUCUCAAAGUGUUGUUGUUGUUGUUUUUUUUUUUUUUAAGAUUUUAUUUAUUUAUUUGACAGAGAACACAAGUAGCAGAGAGGCAGGCAGAGAGAGGGAGAGAGAAG